UGUUUAUGUUGAUUGAUAUGAGUGAUGCUUAUGUAUGUUUUGCUAUGCAUGAAGGGAUCCAUGCUUUUAAUAUGUGAACCAUGUUGGUUGUAACACUUAGUAUCACAUACUUUGUGUCAAAGUACGCAUGUUUAAGCUCUGAGUUAGAGUAUAAGGGUAGGUCAGCAUAUACCAAGUGUUCCAGUGCUAGGAACACAAAAGACUUAGAAGAAGUUGUCUGAAUUCCCUCUUCUUUAAAUAUUUGCCGAAUGGCUUGUGUGACAAAAGAUUUCAAGCGGUUGAGAGUCAAAACAUUUGUAAUGUGUAUGCCUUCUUAUAAUAGCAUUUCCUUCAGUACCUAAUCCUCCACUUUGAAAGAGUGAGGCUUGGCCCCAUAGUCAUAAUAGUCGACGAUACGUUCACCCCUGGUUGUCUUGAUACGAACUUUUAUCCCUCUUGUUGUAAUGGGCUUGUUGAGAGUAAAAAUCCUUCCUCUUACUAAGAGACAGAUACGUUUGGUGACUUAGCAAGUAGCUAAAUGAGGCAGAAGAUGAUACAAUGGGUGUCUGAAUGGCCAAUAUCUCCUCACUUGGUAGAACUUGACUUCCACUUCCUAUUUGUUGACAGGGGUUAACCAUAUGGGUGUUCCCUUGGUAUGUCCUUGGUUCGGCGGAUGCGUGGUUGUAAGCAUGUGCCAUCACCUC
rnacentral:lncRNA from 1 species